rnacentral:lncRNA from 1 species
GGUGUGAUGGCGUGGAUCGAUCAGAGCAAAGGGGGGAGAAGACAAACCCUAACUUCAUGAAAUUCUCAAGAAUUGAAAGAGAUUAGGAGCCCAAACUAAUGCAUGAACUCGAAACCUCAAUCAUCUAAGCUUGUACAACAAGCGGAACGUGUCAAGGAGAGGUCAAGCAUAGGAGGAUAACGGGUCAAGAUAAGGCAAGAUGACAAAUACACUUAUUGGAGUACUCGAGGUAAGUGAAUUUCGAUUCACUUUUUAGUAGGUUUAAUAGAAUUUAAUACUUAUGUUUACGAAACAUCAUGAAAGAACAUGUAAUAAUCAGAAGUACAAAGCCAAUAAUGCCUCAUUAUUGAAGAAGGUUGUAUUUAAGCCGAAAGUAAAUUGGUGGGUUUAAACGGGUCGAAUUUUAUGUGCAUAUGUUGCGUAAUGAAAUGAAAUUCGUUAUGGUUAAGACCUUGGGUAAGAAUUUUAGUCAUUAUGUAAGGGGAACAUUUCCCGGACCAUUAGGUACAAGUUUUAUAUGAUUCGGUUGUCGGUCAAUGAAUGAACGGAUUGUUUCGUUUUAGUGUAGGAAAUUUUAUAAGUAUAUGUGUAUAGGAAUCCAAAGGCCACGUGGGUUGAAUCGUAGAUUGUCUAUACUAUGUAAAGUUUUGAAUGUGACAUUCCGGCAUAAACCUACAUGUAAAAGAAGCUUGUGUAUAUAUUCGUGAUUAAUUGAUUGUGCGAAGGAAGGAACAUUGGCAUGAAUGAAGGUACGCACAUAUAUAUAUAAGUGUAUAUAUAUAUAUAUAUGUAUGUAUGUAUGAUAAUAAGUACGUAGGUGUGAAUGUAUGUGUGAAUGAAUGUUCAAUGCUUAAGACAUAUGCAUGAACGUAUCAAAGGGUUCGAGUAUUUAUGGAUACUAAUGAUGUGCGUUGAGUUGGAAUGUAAUGUAGGUAUGGGGUCGUUGGCUUCAUGAAGAAAUGGAGCUGGAUUUGGAUAAGAGUAUUUAAGAAAGCGCUUGGACAAUUCCACGACUACUUUAUAGAAUGCUCUACGAAAUUUUAUUAUAUAGUUUAAUGUUGAAUGGUAUGUUGAUAACUAAUGGUUUGGUUGUACGUGGUGUCCACAGGUAUCGCUUGGGUUUUCUCUACUUUUAUUGAAGUGAAGCGGACUUAGUUCGAGUUGAGAGCAAGGAUUGUACGGGCUAGAAUGGUCACAUAGUGUAACUCAUAUAGGUUUUGAAGUAUUAAUGUUAUAAAACGUUAUAAAUCCGUUUUAAUGAAUAUAUGGCAUUUCGCAUUUGAACUUUCAUGUGUUUGAUAUGUCUAUUAAAGAACGAAAUUUUUGG